GACUUCCUGCUGGCUGAGUGUUAUCUGCCUCAGGCUACCCUGACUUUUUCACUGUUUUUCACUUUUUUUUUUUUUUUGAGAUAGUCUCACUGUGUAGCCCAGGCUGAUGUGCAUAACACAGCAGCCUUGAACUCCCUGGUUCAAGUAAUCUCCCUACCUCAGCCUCCUGAGUAGCUGAGACUACAGGCAUGCACUACCUCUCCCAGCUCGCUACUUUUCAGAAAGGGUAGACAAACUACAGUAGCUGCCUGGACACCAUACUUGGAGGAGAAGGGGAGGGGGAGGCUGCACCGGAUUCUGUCUUCUGAACUAUGUUAUCUUCCAGUUUCAACAUCAUAAAUAGCACAGCAAUCUUAUAUGAUGGGCCUCCUGAUGUGAUGCAAAAAUCACCAAAGUAGUAUUCUUGACAAAAGUAUUUACCAUGAAUCCAAUCUUGAAGAAGCAAUCAGGUAAAUCCAGAAUAUACUAGAAAAGUGGCCUGGCCUAAACUCCUAAAAAGAAAAUCAAUGACAUGAAAAACAAACAGGCUGAGUGUGGGGCAGAGGAUACUCUUCUAUAUUAAAAGACACUAGAGAGACAUAACCAAAUCCAAUUCAUGAACCUUGCUUCAAGACCAGGGGCAGGGUCUAUUCUGGGCCAGCACGUGGAGCGGAGGCAGAGCUGGCCUCAGGCCCUUGCCUGAUCCUCCCUCCCCUUAUUCCCUUGGCAGCAGACACAUGACAUAGAAAUCACUGGUUCCACCAAAUACUGCACAGCCCAGAUGCUGCUGGCCUGAUCAGGGCCAAGCUGAGUCACCACUUUAGGAUACGAUUCUUGCUUUUUGGACUAUGAAUGCACCCUCAUCACCCCAUGCUCAACCCCCAACUGAAGACUGAGGUUACAGCAGAUCCGUGGAUAUCACAGGGUGAUGAGGCACUAGGCCACCUGCUGCCUAUUCCCUGGCACUUCAUUCUUCUGAUAAUGGAGUAUGAGAGAGAAUGGGACAUGAGGUGGACCCCGAUCAGGCAUGUCAUAGACAGGAGGGACACAUACUACCACUGGGCAUGGUGCCCUAGAUAAUGACCCAGAGGGAGGUUGUAGGUCUCGACCCUGGGGUCCAAGCUGAUGAGGAAAGGCAAGAAAAAAAGAAGGGGCCAGGCAUGGUGGCUCAUGCCUGUAAUCACAGCACUUUGGGAGGCCAAGGUGGGCAGAUCACUUGAGGUCAGGAGUUGGAGACCAGCCUGGCCAACGUGGUGAAACCCUGUCUCCGCACCUGUAGUCCCUACCCUUUGGGAGGCUGAGGCAGGAGGAUCAUUUGAGGCCAGGAGCUCACUGCACUCCAGCCUGGACAACAGAGGGAGACCAUAUCUUGGAAAAAGAGAGAGAGAGAGAGAAAAAGAGAGAUGGAGGGAGAAGGAGAGAAAUGUAAAAACUUUAGAAAAACUUCAGUGCUUCUUAGUUGGUUUAAAAAAAAAAAUGCCAGGCAUGGUGGCUCAUGACUGUAAUCCCAGUACUUUGGGAGGCCGAGCAGGCGGAUCGCAAGAUCAAGAGAUUGAGACCAUCCUGGCUAACACAGUGAAACCCUGUCUCUACUAAAAAUACAAAAAAUUAGCCGGGCAUGGUAGCGGGCGCCUAUAGUCCCAGCUGCUCAGGAGGCUGAGGCAGGAGAAUGGCUUGAACCCUGGAGCCGGAGCUUGCAGUGAGCCCAGAUUGCGCCACUGCACUCCAGCCUGGGCGAGAGUGCAAGACUCCGACUCAAAAAAAAAAAAAAAUCCUUGGGAGGCUGAGGCUGGAGGAUCCCUUGAGCCCAGGAGGUUGAGGCUGCAGUGAGCUGUGAUCCCACUACUGCACUCAGCCUGCAUGACAGAAUGAAACCCUGUCUCAAUCAAUCAAUCAAUAAGGCCGGGCACAGUGGCUCACGCCUGUAAUCCCAGCACUUUGGGAGACCGAGGCGGAUGGAUAGAGAAGGAAGGAAGGAAGGAAGGAAGAAAGGAAGGAAGGAAGGAAGGAAGGAACCAUUCUUGACUUGUGGGUUAUACAAAAACAGGCAGGGUUCCACUCCUGGCACUAGGUUUGUUCUUGUGUUUGUUCUCUGUUCAGGGUUAUGCCACGCAGAGGGUAGGAGGGGAAUUAGUCCAUGGUUAUGUGUCCUCACAGAUGACCACUGAGAAGGCCACCAUGCCUAGUCGUCACGACUCUAGGCCCAGCAACUUGCUGAAGACUCUGCAGUGCUGGGGACCCAGGCAUUUUUGUGAGGCUGUCCACACCCUAUCUGCCUGUGAGGACUGGGCAGUCCAUCUGGGGGUCUGGCUGCCUCUCCUGCGUGCUGCUGGGAGGCUAGGCCUGACUGUCAUUGCUCUACGGCCACAUCCCCAGCCACGCUCUUCUUUUUCUUCUUUCAGCCAGAGGGAGCCCUGAAUUCAUGCAGAGGAGUUUUUCUACCUUCCAUCUGCUUCUGCAUAUCAUCUUGUCUACUUAAUGCCCCUCCUUCC
rnacentral:lncRNA from 10 species